CGAAGCUUCAUCUGAAAUAUUGAUCUUAUGAAUUACAGAUUUUUCAGAUCUAAAUUUAUCUGAUAUAAUAAUAUAUAAAAAAUUAUAAAUAAAAAAUAUAAUUAUAUUAUUUUUGAUUUUUUAUAAUAAAUAUUUUUUUAAUUAGAUAAAUAUAACAUUCAUCAUCAUCAAUUUUUGAGAUGGAUGGAAUGAAGCAAGCUCGUGAACA
rnacentral:lncRNA from 1 species